ACAUGUGCAUAAGACAUUUUUCUACUGUCUGUUAUUGAGAUGAACACAGUGAAUUGUUCUACAGAUCAAAAUCUGUCGGUUUGUAUUGCUUGCUUUUUGCAUUUUCUCCCAAGAGGAAUAAAAUAUAAUUGAAUAGAAAAUCGGGAGAUCUACGUGUUUCUCCUAGGUGGAUGACUUACAGACGAGUUAAGGAACGCUUGAGAUGACAGAAGGAGCUCUCGCCUUUGCUUAGGGAAACAGAUGCCUGCAUGGACAUAUACUGUAUUGUGAAGUUCCUAAAGGUGAUAAAGGUUGGCAUUGGACCUUCUGGAACUGUGCUUAUAGCUGUGAGUUGUCGUGUGUGUUCUGGUAUCCAAACCAAGGUCCUCUGCAAGGCCAACAAGCACUCUUAGCUGCUGAGCCAUGCUGCCAGCCCUGACGACAGAAGUCGAAUGUCUGUAGGAAGUAGUACAAAUGACAAUGAAACAGACAGUAAAGAAAAAAAAAAAGAAAGAAAUGUCGGCAUUGAUCUGAUGCAUAUCACUUGAAGCAAGAAUAAUUUUGCAUUUUCCCUCAGAUCUGAUUGUCAACAAAGAGAUGGGAUUUUAAAAUGAUCUAAAGAGAUUCCUUGUGGAAUUAUGGUGACCGUAGUGUAUAGCUAUACAUACAUAUAGCUACAUAAAGAAGAGAGCAUUGUGGGUACCUAUGAUGUGAGCUAAGGCUUAGAGAUGGGUAGGGAGGAUGGAUUACAUGGAUUUGAAUAGGUUGCCAUGUUUGGACAGGAGAUAGUGGGAGGUGAGUGAGAGAGACAGUAGCAGUUCUGAGGGAUGGGAGUUGAGUUCUGUUGAACUUCCUUCCACUUUGUUCAGGCAGAGUGUUCCCAGGGGAAGCCCUUUCACUCUAGCUCAGUGCUUGUUUAUACUAACUUCCCUCAAACGCAUUUCUUUUCUACAAUAUUCCUGUGUCUAGGUGUAUCUGAUGCCAAAGCUGGUUCUGGGGAUAACUAAGGACAAAAAAAAUCAUGGCCUCUUUUUCUCACAGGAGUCUGAGGUUUCAGUGUGAUUCACUCUGAGUCAGAACCACCUUCAGUAUUAUGGAUAUUAUAUUGUAAGUGCUUACAUGCUGUUUGAGUUCACUGAGAAGCUGAUUCUGGAAGUGGGAUUGCCCUCGGUUUCAGACCUAAUCGAGUUUGGUUCAUAGCGUUCCCUCAAAGUCCCUUGUCUGGGGAUGGGCUGCCCUCCUGCCCACUCUUAUCUAUGGCAGACAAGGAAGAGAACAGCAAACAGUCCUAAAGUAAAAUGCCGUGGCCUUGAGAAGAGGGAAGAAGGUUUACCGUCCGAACUAUUACUAUUACUAUUACUGUUACUAUUUGCUUACUCAUCCAUGAUACAAAUGCCUGCAGUGGGAAGGAGAAGCUGAAAAUCCAGUCCUGGGAAGCUCAGCUCAGCCACGGAAAGAAAGCUCAACUGGGAACUCCAACCAACUGCCUUAACUUCCCCACUCAGGAUCUAGGUGAUGCUGUGAAUGCUCAGCUUGAUGAUGUCAUAUUCUUGUAUUUGUUUCAUCAUUCACCUGACAGGACAUCUGCUCUGAGUAGGGCUUUCUUGAUUGGAAACUCCAGCUGGCUGCCUUAAAGGCAAUUGGUUUCUGUUGGGUGCUUUGAGCACCUAGUGUAAUAUCUCUAUCUCUCUCUCUCUCUCUCUCUCUCUCUCUCUCUCUCUCUCUCUCUCUCUCUCUCCCUCUCCCUCCCCCUCCCCCUCUCCCUAUCCCACCCUCCUCUCUUAUUUUGGCCUGCUAUUUACUUUAUAAACUCACUCCUGCAAUACCAAAAAUGCGGCUGUGGUAGAUUAUUCGUGCCAUUACACAGGACAAUUAGUUGUCUGCCCAUGUGGGGAAAGUUGCUCUGAGCUUUCUGUUUACUCGCUGUCCUCUUUGACCUUGACUUAUUUAGAAUUAAUCAUGAAAAAAAAAAAAAAGAAAGUGUUAGUAUUGGGUUAAACUUGUUCCACGGACUUUUACUUUUCCAAGAGUAUGAUUUUUCUGAGUGAGUGUAGUUUUACAAAAUGCAGCGGAUGCCAAAGACUCAUUUCCUCCUAAAUGAUGGAACCCGCCAGCUGAACUCAGCAGGAGUGAAGGGAUGGGUGACCAGCCAGUUACAAACGUUUUCCAAAUAUUUUCUUCUGGGUAUGGUGACACAUACCUUUACUCCCAACACUUGUAGGAAGAGGCAGGCAGAUCUCUGUGAGUUUGAGGUCAGGGUGGGCAUCAUUGCAUAGUGAAAUCCUGUCUCAAAAACUUCUUUAAGAUUACACUAUAUAUUUUUCACUUUUAACUAUUCUGCACAUCAAGGAAAGAGAAAGUGAAAAUUUCUAUCUGUUAGCGGGCUUGCUGGCUCGCUAAUCACUUAUUGCCCGUGUGUCUUCUGGCAGCUCAACUAACCACACUGAGCUUCAGUUCCUUUUAUUGUGCAUGGGAAGAGAGGGAGCAGCUUGUACUGUCAAUUAAAGCUGGAUUGUCUGGCGGACUAAACAGAUAAACGUAUAGGAAGUUUUUAAAGAGUGCCUGAUGCACAGUAAAUAUGGAAAAGUGAUCUGUAUGAUAAUGAUAUUAUUGAUAUUAUAAUAGAGGAGGAAUUGCCCUAAAAUAGAAUUACAUGGAGUUGCGUUUGGUCUAAAGUCUCUAGCGGGACUCUAGAGUCUACUGAUUCCUGUUUUCUGAAAUAGCAGAAAGCACUGUGGACACUGGCUGUAGACAAUGCCUCUGCUUCUCCACAUGCUAGGGAGGCCCAGGACUGAAGAUGCCCUACGACACCAAAUGAGAGGCCACAGCAAGGAGAGGCUUACUAUGACACAGUCUAUUUGACCCCAAUUCUCCUAACUCCUCCAGAAACGUACCAAAG
ensembl:lncRNA